AACUUUUAACAACGGAUCUCUUGGCUCUCGCAUCGAUGAAGAACGCAGCGAAAUGCGAUACGGAAUGUGAAUUGCAGAAUUCAGUGAAUCAUCGAAUCUUUGAACGCACCUUGCGCCCUUUGGUAUUCCGAGGGGCACACCCGUUUGAGUGUCGUGACAUUCUCAUAACCUUCUCGGUUUCUCGACCGGGAAGGCUUUGGACUUUGGAGGCUUUUGCUGGCAUUCCUUGGUUGGAGCCAGCACCUCUGAAAUGAAUUAGUGAGGUCUGCUUUGCCGAUCCUUGACGUGAUAAGAUGUUUUCUACGUCUUGGGUUUUAGUACUCCCGCUUCUAACCGUCUCACGGUAGACAAAUGGUCCACUCGACCCACAAACCUUGACCUCAAAUCGGGUGAGACUACCCGCUGAACUUAAGCAUAUCAAUAAGCGGAGGCU
rnacentral:misc_RNA from 1 species